UACGUAGGGUGCGAGCGUUAAUCGGAAUUACUGGGCGUAAAGCGUGCGUAGGCGGCUUUGCAAGACAGAUGUGAAAUCCCCGGGCUUAACCUGGGAACUGCAUUUGUGACUGCAUGGCUGGAGUGCGGCAGAGGGGGAUGGAAUUCCGCGUGUAGCAGUGAAAUGCGUAGAUAUGCGGAGGAACACCGAUGGCGAAGGCAAUCCCCUGGGCCUGCACUGACGCUCAUGCACGAAAGCGUGGGGAGCAAACAGG
rnacentral:rRNA from 1 species